rnacentral:rRNA from 1 species
UCCUACGGGGGGCAGCAGUGGGGAAUUUUGCGCAAUGGGCUAACGCCUGACGCAGCAACGCCGCGUGGAGGAUGAAGGUCUUUGGAUUGUAAACUCCUGUCAGCAGGGAAAAAGGGAGUCGACCUAAUACGUCGGUGACUUGAUUGUACCUGCAGAGGAAGCCCCGGCUAACUCUGUGCCAGCAGCCGCGGUAAUACAGAGGGGGCAAGCGUUAUUCGGAAUUAUUGGGCGUAAAGGGCGCGUAGGCGGCCGUUCAAGUGGCGGGUGAAAUCCCUCGGCUUAACCGAGGAACUGCCUGCCAGACUGGAUGGCUUGAGACCGGGAGAGGUGAGUGGAAUUCCCAGUGUAGCGGUGAAAUGCGUAGAUAUUGGGAGGAACACCAGUGGCGAAGGCGGCUCACUGGACCGGAACUGACGCUGAGGCGCGAAAGCGUGGGGAGCAAACAGGAUUAGAUACCCUGGUAGA